GUCUUUUUGUUUUAAAUAUAAAGUUUAACCUGCCCAUUGAAUAAUUUUAAAAGGCUGCGGUAUUUUGACCGUACAAAGGUAGCAUAGUCAUUAGUUUUUUAAUUGAAAACUUGUAUGAAUGGUUGAAUGAAAAAUUAACUUUUUUAAAAAAAAAAUUGAAUUUUACUUUUUAAUUAAAAGGUUAAAAUUUAUUUAAAAGACGAGAAGACCCUAUAGAGUUUAAUAAAUAAAAAUAUAUUUUUUAAAAAGUUUAUUAUAAAUUUUAUAUUUUUAUAUAUUUUGUUGGGGUGACAAUAAAAUUUAAUUAACUUUUAUUAAUAAAUUACAUUAAUAUAUGAUUUUUUGAUCCAAUUAUAUUGAUUAAAAAUUUAAAUUACCUUAGGGAUAACAGCGUAAUUUUUUUUUAAGUUCAUAUUAAUAAAAAAUUUUGCGACCUCGAUGUUGGAUUAAGAUUUAAUUUUAGGUGCAGCAGUUUAAAAUUUAAGUCUGUUCGACUUUUAAAUUCUU
rnacentral:rRNA from 1 species